ACCAAUCGUCUGUUACAGUCCACAAUGUUAACCGCUUGGACCGAAACUCAAGUCCGUACGGGCCAAGCCAUGAUAAUAUUUUAGUUUUUUGUAUAUUUUCUAUUUUAUACAAAAACGUUUUUAGAAUUCUUUACAAAAAUAUUUUGGUGUAACAUUAUUUAGUUUAUAUUAGUUUGGGGAAUUGGAUAGCAUAUACAUAAGGAAGACCGAAAUUAAUUGUAUAACCAUAUUAAGGACUUGGCUAUGAUAUUAUGCAUAAUGUUUAAAAAGUGACAAAAAAUACUUUUAUCUCUACGCGUGAAAAAGGUUUGAUGUCUAGUUCUCUUCUUCAAUCAAAAGAUUUCUUUCACUUUGACACAAAUCUUUGAAGAUUGAUGAAGCAUCAGAGAGGGAGAAAAGAGAGAUAGAAAUUGAAGAGAGUGACAGUAGAUGAGAGAGGCUGAGGUUGUUCGAGAAGCUAAUUUAGGGUUCUUGCGGCGACGAGUUUGUGGCGGUGCGAGUAAGGAGCAUAAGUUACCGCGCAACGAUCGGUGAAAGAGGUGUACGACGGCUACAGAAGAAGAUAACCUAACAUCUAUUUCAAAUUUUACCUUUUGCUGUUAUUUUUUAUGUAUCACCAGAAAAAUGAAAGAUUUGCAUGUUUGUGUGAGUAGUUUAUGCAGAGAUUGUAUAUCUAAGUUUCUGGGUUGGAGAUAGUGAUGUAUAUUGUAAGCGAACAAAACUAUACUAUAGUAACGUGUGAGAUAGUAUAGUAGCGACUGAAUUGUGUUGCAUGCUUUUAAAGAUAUGAUUGGACUCCAGCACUGUAAGUAAACAUUAACACUUUGGUUUAUUCAUCUGUAUUGCUAUAAAAUUUCUACUAUUAUGAGUCUAUUACAUUCCUCGCGUAGGUACCAGUACCCAUUGGUACUAUAUUACUUAGCUUGUCUUAGUACUAUGGAAUCUUUUAUUGUAUUCAUUUACAUAUGUUCCGUUUUAUACUAGCUGUGUAUGUGUAUUGUGUAACUCCAUCCCACAAUGUAACUAGGUCAAGACUCGUCUAUGUUGAUGUGUGCAGUGACUACAUACUUUAUAUAUCUUUCAGGCUGCAAUUACUGGGACACGAGAUGAGACUGCAACCACCAUUCAAAAAAACAACCAGGUGGUACUUUUUUGCCAGUUAAUGCCCCUGAUAGGGCGCCUGUGGUAUCGGUCCUGCUAGCGUCUGACCAGCCUAUACGCCCAACCGUAUAGACAUGUCAGCAUCCAAUGCGCCUCGAGUUUUCCCUAGUCAUGGUGUGGCUGAGUCCAGCAUUGUUGCAUCACUGGGGAUCAGAGUUGCUGAUGCCUCUUGUAUCGCAGAAGGCUAGACACGCUCUGUUAUGUCACCGCAUAAGGCCACUAACGUGGAUCCGCCUCCAACAGGCUAGACAAUGUCACCCAUGUGGUACCAAGCGUUUCUUUCCUUACGCGUACGCUCAAUGAUGUUGAUCUUGAUUGUGUCAACUGCGGUUCAAUCCCUUUGUAUUAUUGUGCACCUUUUGUAAGAGGAUACACACAAGUUUCUGCUUUAGUGGCAUACUUCAGUUUUUCAUAUGUUAAUUCCCACACUGUACCAAAUAUGCAGGUUUGCUAUGUAGAAUAUGCAACAAAUAAUUAAGUAGAGAGUGUGUACUUUUGUAGGUGAGAUGUGAUGUUAUGUUGGUAACUAUACUAUGCAUUGUAUACAUAUCAUAGUUUGUUUGUCAUUAGAAUAAUUGUUGGUUAGUGUACAAACGUAUCCACUAUAGUCGCUGUAGAACCUAAAAUCUACACUAAGUAUUUGAUAGUGAUCGGGGUUUGAUCUAGGGAAGACAAAUGAUGUAGGCAACGAUAUAUUUAAAACACAACGAUGUUAAAUAGUUUCCAGUAGGUGAAAAUAGACUUUAUUGAUGAAUAAGAUCGAAUACAAUGAAUUGAACUAGAUCGAGUGAUACAAACGAGAUCGGUAAAGAAAGAAUCUAAAAGUAGGAAGACAACGAGAUCGAUGUAAGUGUGUAGCUCUCUCAAGGGUUUUCAACGUGUCCUCCUCUGUUUCCACUCCUCUUCCUUUAUAGUAAGUCGACUUCGAGAUCUCUGUGGUAGCUCCGCGAUCUCAGCUUCUUGUUGCACGAUCUCCGCGACCUCGGCGACUCCUUCUCGAGCUCGUAUUCAUGCUACGGGCUCCGGCCCUUUAAGGCCCAUGCCUUUGAUCGCGGCCCAUUAUGGUAUUGACCAAAAUUGGGUCCAACAUUUGUCCCCCAGCCUCUUUUGAUUUGAUCGAAAAGGAAAAAUGGCGGUUAUCUUUUAACCUGGGUCUUGUCGUUUGGUAACCGAUAUCACUCGGAUUCGGUUUUAAUGAUCGUUUUCGAAAAAAGUCGUUCGUUGGCGCAUUUUUUUAAUUAUUAUUUUAAUCGGUAACGGCUACUUUAGCCGCCGCUAGGGCAUAGGCUAGGUCAUAAUUGCUUUUCUUGAUAGCGAUGAUAAGGUGGCUUAUAUAUACGUAGAGGAUCUUCUUUUUGCCUCACCUCUGCUUCUUCUUUCUCGUCUCUUUCUCCUUUGCUCUGAAUCUUUCUGUUCUUUGAGCUCAAGAUGUGUUCGUCUUUUAAUUUUCCUCAUCCGACUACUACAGCCGAUGAUCUCGAGAACCUUUAUAAGGUGUAUGGGGUUGAUCGUUCCGUCAUCCUUGACUUGGUCGGUACGCAUGAGAAUCCGAAACCGUGAGAGAAGGCUACUAAGGAGCCUAUCUUUCCUUCUUUCACUCCUGCGGUCUUAUCUUCCCGAUCCCGGAGCCAAUACUCUAGGUCCUGGUGGAGCUUGGGUUUUCGCUUACCCAGCUUCUCCCGAACUUUCUUAGGCAUCUUGUCGCCUUCUUGGUUAAGGCUAGGGAGGAGGGUGCUUUUGGUCUUAGCGAGUUUCGUCAGCUCAUUCUGGUGAAGCAGAAUAAGCAGAACCCUGGUACUUUCCUCGUGUCUCCGCGCCCAGGUCGCCACGUCAUCGAGGACAUCCCUUAUCGUGACGAGAAGUGGCGCGAGUAAUUUUUUGUUUUCAAGAUGGAUCGAGCAUCUAUGGGUAACUUUGACUUCUCCCAGCUUCCCCGGCGUUGGGCCGAGAAUAUCGGUUAGUUUUCUUUUGCCUAUGUGUUGAUGAUUUUUUUUUUUUUUGGGAGUCGAAGACUAAAAAUUUUUCGUUUGAUUCAGUUCCUUCUGGAAGCUCUUCAAUGUCAGAUGAGAUCUGUGGUCUGAUGAGGGUCCUUCGGAGAGGUCGUUCGAACUGGUCUACUUUUGAUCGAACUCGGAUUCAAACUGUCUUCGCCUUGCCGGUGAGGACCGACAGGGCUCCUUUGGUUGAGGAGUCUAAAGACGAGGCCGAACAUUCCCAGGAGGUCGUAGCGACUCCUUCUGUUCAGACCCAGUCUUCAGAUCGGCUAACUAGACAGCUUGUGAGGAGGUCGUCGUUCCGAACUUCUGGGUCUGCAUCGAGGGGCCGAGCUUCCGGAAAAUCUCCCUUGAUAUCGAUUCAUGAUUCCGACGACGAAGAUGUUUCAGGAGAGAAUCGACAUCCUGUCUCGUUGAGUCCUGGCUCAGAAGACGAGACCGUGGCAGCGCCUCGCAAGCGACGUAGGUCAUUGGAGGGUGCCUUGCCUGGUCCGUCUCAUCCUAGGUUUGUUUCUGAGGUAGAUGGUUCUUCGUUUACGGCCCAAAGCGACCUAAUUUCCCUCGCUGGUCGCAUGAGGUCUGUGGGUUGCUCGCUGGUCGCAUGAGGUCUGUGGGUUGCCGUCUCCCAUCUCUUGCUUCCUCAGUCGAGAGGGAAGCCUACGCCAAGGUGGUUGUGGCAAGCUCUAAGGUUCGUUUCUCGCCUUCAUUCUAUUUGAAAAGCUGUUUUGUGGUAUUUGCUUAUUUCGAUUUCUUCUUAGGUGAUGGAAGCUUUUAAUGAAUAUGUCGUGACGAUGGAAGAUCAUGUCGUGGCUUCUCGGAACGACAAGGAAAUCGAGAGCAUUGGUUUUGAGAUCAAGAGGCUUUCGAAGGAGCUCCAAGCCACCAAGCAAGAAGGGAAGAAGGAUGCCAAAAAGAUCGAAGAUUUGACUGAAGACUGGAGGAGAGUUCAUCUGGAGAAAGAGGCUCUCACGUUCCAGAUGGUUUCUCAAAUGGCAAGAAUUACGGCAAUCGAGGUCGGGAGAGAUCGGGACAUUCGCCGCGCUUCUCGUAUUGCUCGUCGCCAUAUCGCGGCUAAGUAUCGGGAAGUUCUUGAAUCUUUGAAGGAUAGGUGGGCGAGCAAGAAGAGGGAAGUAUCUGCUGAGAUCCAGCUACAAGAGGUGACCGCCAACAUCGAUCUCCUGACCGAGCUCAAGGAUGGGGGGCCUGACUAUGGAUGCGGAGCUUGCUCGAUCAAAAGGGAAUGGAAGGAGACUGUGAGGAUUUUGUCGCCUCCACCGCCGUGCCGGAUUAGUCGAUCUCCGAGCUCGAUCUUCCUCAAGUCUCAGAUGAUUCGGUGGAUCAAGUCGGGGGGUCGUCUGUCCCCGAUGAUUCCGUUUCUAGUUAGUUUUUUCUUCUUUUUUUUGUUUAAUAUCUUUUUGUUUUUGACGAUCUUUGAUCUUGAUAUCUUGGAUAUCUUUUAAUGGAUAAGCAUAAUAUUUCGGAAUAUCCCUGUUUCCUUAGCUUUCGAAAUUCUUUUUGUUCGGGUUGUUGAGAUAUGGUGAGGUUCCGGUCUUUAUAAAGCUUUGGCUUUGCUCUAGGAUUCGUCAUAGUAUUUCAUUUAGGGUACGAACUCGAACUGGUAGUGCCAAUGCGGAACGUAUUAGAUCCGGAGAUGUGAGUGAUGCGCUCACAGAAGUUCUUCGUGAGGAGACCCGACUUCUGCAGCCUUCAACCAAAGGGGCCAAAUAUCCUGAGGGUGAAAAAUAUGUUGCUUGUGUUAAGUCGAGUAGCCCAACGGGUUCGGAGGGGCGUGAUCGUCCUUCGAAGAAGGCUAAAACAAAUGGUUCGGACCAUCGUCUUAGUGUCCCGGGUGAAGCAGCUGUUGCUAAGCCGUUUCAUUGGCAGUUCUCGCAUUCCAAGGAUUGUCCUAUUACGGAAGAUCCAUAUAGUGUUGCUCAUUUGGUGAGGCACUUCACACCCGCUGGAUGUCCGCUUCCCUCUCUGCAUAAUAUGACUGAGCGCGAGGCUUACGUAAAGAUGGAUGUGGUCCAUUCCAAGGUCUUUCUUUUUGAAAUUUGAUCCUUGUCGAAUCUUUGGUUCGUUUUGUCUGUACUGAUUUGCCAUGUUUCAGGCUAUGAAGGUUAACAACGAGUUUGCGGCAACUUUUGAAAAACGCCUGCAGGAUGUUCCGCGCUCUGACAAAAUUUACGAAAUAAAGAAAGUCGUUCGCGAGCUAAAGCUCAGUCUAAAGAUGGCUCAAGACUAGAAGCGUGCCAAUGCUGCUCAACUGGCUGCCGCUGAAAAGCUGGGGAAUCAGGCUGCUUCGCUCGAAGCUCGUCUGCGAGUUGUGAGCAACGAAAGGAAGUCGGCCCUCGAGCAAGUUUCCUUCUUGGAAGCGAAGGUUGAAUCUUCUGCCAAUAAGUUCUCUGACGACCUUCGCCGCGCGACUUAUGAUGCCAAAAAGACUAUGGCGGAUAGCUAUCUAGAUGUGCUGGUCUCUCUAAAGGAGAAAUGGGAAAAGAAGAAGGCUGCAACUGAUUGGGAGGCUCGUCUUCGGGAAGUCGUGGCAAAUAUAGAUCUUUUGAAGGAGAUCAUGAACAACAAUCUCCUGGCUUCGGAUGAGUUGUUGCGGCUUCGAGCGAAGGAGGUCAAGCUUGGGUCCGAGGUCGAUGUGAUGGCGACUUCGGAUUUCUCCGUUGGCAAGCUCGACUUGCCUCAGAUUUCGGAGGAUGAUGCCAAAGUAUUUCUUUGCUAAGGUCCCUUCCACGGCGGACAACGUGGCGAAUUGCUCGGGUGAUCGCUUUGAGGAUGGUGAAUUCAGCAUCAAAGAGUAGCUUUAGGGACUUUCUUUGCUUUUCCCUCUGCUUUUUGUUGCUUUAUUAUUUGCUUAUUUAAUAAAGAAGGGAUCGUGGGUCCCGAUUUAUUUGUUGCCAUUUUUAUGUUUUAUGCGGGGCCGAUUUUUUUGGGCCAUGUGUCGAUUUGUUGUAGAUACUUUUAUCGACAGUUUCGAUGUAACAAAAGAUUUUGUUAGCCAGUUUUGUCGCGCUUGUUGGCGGAGUUGGCCGCAACCGAGGACUUGAUCAGGGUCCUGGUUUUUGGUCAACUAUCGCAGGUAUGCGAUUUUCUUAUAUGAAAAGUCUGAUGUGUUCGAAUUUCUAUGAACUGUAUUUAUUAAGAUGUCGGACUCUGUUUCGUUAUAUAUUUGUGAAAAGAAGGCAGUUUUUGAUAUUGUCGUGUCGUUAUUCCUCGGGUGUUGCGAUAUGCCCACUUUGAGUUCUGUAGGUGGAA